rnacentral:siRNA from 1 species
UUCUGUUUUCUCUCUCUUUCUUCU